AUUCUACGGCCCGGCUCUGCUCCUGGCCCAGGCGCCCGUGUCCGGUGCGGUCCCAUACGAGAUGGGUUCUCUGCCUUCGGUGCGUGUCGGCGCCUCUGCCAAGGCGGAGCGGACGGCGAAAGAAAGGCCGAAAGCCAUCGUGACGUCGAGGCACAAGCUCCACUGUCCUAACAGUAGAGGUCGCAUGGAGUUCGUGAGACGGGCAUUAGCUGCCGCUGGAGCUGUACCCAGCCCACCGUAUUUUCACAAAUUAGCCAGACAAUACGCCUUCUCUUCGCAUCACUACUGGUCCGGCUUCCUGUGGAGAUUUUCAGAUACAAGCAAACAAAACAUUGCAUAACUCUGUGUGCAGCCCUUACCCGGAUGUGUGCAGCUUUAGGGUGUGCUUGCAGGAGGAACAGGAUAUCCAAAUGACCUCCUUGGAAAACAAUGGUUAAGGAGCACUGGGACUCUGACAGGACCUGGGUUCUCUCCGACCCCUUUAUUCCCCAUGCCCACUGCCCCACAUGUGUGUACACAUGUGCUUCUGCUUGUGAGCACGCAGGAGUUCAUUGUAGAGGGCAUCUCCCUUACCUGUUGUCUCUCUUUGAUUUAAAAAAAAAAAAUCUAUUCUUACAAACCCCUAUAUAUACAUGUUGCCUGACUUAAAGUCAGGUCUGGGUUACUGCCAUCAGUCCCAAUGUUCACAGAAAUGGGAAACGAGAGGGGUGGACCAGUGGGGACAACCUGUAACUUGGACUUCUUAGAUCACUCCUGUCCCUCCCAAGACACCUAGGACUCAUCGGGUCUAAUUUAGUCUAGGAGGUGUGUUUCUAGAUGCAUCCCUGGAGUACAGUGAAUGCAAGCCAAGAAAUAAUUUUUUCUUCCCAAUUUCAUGGUCUCAUCCUGACCUACAGCAGAUAAGUAAGGAUGAUUCCAUUUCUGUAUUCUCUCGAGCCCAUCCCCCUCUCCCUGCCGUAGAGUCGGGAGUACCCUUUUUUUUUUUUCUUCUCAAGACAGGGUUUCUCUGUAUCACCCUGGCUGUCCUGGAACUCACUCUAAAGUACCCUCUUAAUUAACCAUGCUUAGAGAGGAAUAAAAGGACAAGACCAGAGUUUCAGCUACCUUGGAUUCUGCACCGACUCAGGAUCACAGUCAGUUUGUGUGAGGUCACCAGUUUAUACCAAACAGGUUUCAAGGGGCCACGGACAGAACUGUCUUGGUCAGAAUCAGCUGAGUCUUGCAGACAUGAUUCUACUCCAGACCGUUUUGUCUCUAGAAGAGAAACUUGCAAACAUUCUGCCUUCCUUUUCUUUUCUUUGGGAAAGUAAAUGCUGUGUUAGAAGUUUGGACCAGAAUUCUCGGACUUCACCAUCUAUGGAUGCUUCGCUUUUGAUGUGUUUGCCUGUUUAUAAUCUAUUUUAUUUAUUUUGGAAGAUUUUCAUUAAUAAAAAGUAAUGAAGACAUA